UAGGGAAUCUUCGGCGAUGGACGAAAGUCUGACCGAGCAACGCCGUGUGAGUGAAGAAGGUUUUCGGAUCGUAAAACUCUGUUGGUAGAGAAGAACGUUGGUGAGAGUGGAAAGCUCAUCAAGUGACGGUAACUACCCAGAAAGGGACGGCUAACUACGUGCCAC
rnacentral:rRNA from 1 species